rnacentral:rRNA from 1 species
GACGAACGCUGGCGGCGUGCUUAACACAUGCAAGUCGAACGGAAAGGCCCUGCUUUUGUGGGGUGCUCGAGUGGCGAACGGGUGAGUAACACGUGAGUAACCUGCCCUUGACUUUGGGAUAACUUCAGGAAACUGGGGCUAAUACCGGAUAGGAGCUCCUGCUGCAUGGUGGGGGUUGGAAAGUUUCGGCGGUUGGGGAUGGACUCGCGGCUUAUCAGCUUGUUGGUGGGGUAGUGGCUUACCAAGGCUUUGACGGGUAGCCGGCCUGAGAGGGUGACCGGCCACAUUGGGCCUGCGAUACGGCCCAGACUCCUACGGGCGGCAGCAGUGGGGAAUAUUGCACAAUGGGCGGACGCCUGAUGCAGCAGCGCCGCGUGCGGGAUGACGGCCUUCGGGUUGUAAACCGCUUUCGCCUGUGACGAAGCGUGAGUGACGGUAAUGGGUAAAGAAGCACCGGCUAACUACGUG